CUGUAAGCCUGUGAAGGUGUGCUGUGAGGCAUGCUGGAGGUAUCAGAAGUGCGAAUGCUGACAUAAGUAACGAUAAAGCGGGUGAAAAGCCCGCUCGCCGGAAGACCAAGGGUUCCUGUCCAACGUUAAUCGGGGCAGGGUGAGUCGACCCCUAAGGCGAGGCCGAAAGGCGUAGUCGAUGGGAAACAGGUUAAUAUUCCUGUACUUGGUGUUACUGCGAAGGGGGGACGGAGAAGGCUAUGUUGGCCGGGCGACGGUUGUCCCGGUUUAAGCGUGUAGGCUGGUUUUCCAGGCAAAUCCGGAAAAUCAAGGCUGAGGCGUGAUGACGAGGCACUACGGUGCUGAAGCAACAAAUGCCCUGCUUCCAGGAAAAGCCUCUAAGCAUCAGGUAACAUCAAAUCGUACCCCAAACCGACACAGGUGGUCAGGUAGAGAAUACCAAGGCGCUUGAGAGAACUCGGGUGAAGGAACUAGGCAAAAUGGUGCCGUAACU
rnacentral:rRNA from 1 species